UAAUUGAAGAGUUUGAUCAUGGCUCAGAUUGAACGCUGGCGGCAGGCUUAACACAUGCAAGUCGAGCGGUAGCACAGGGGAGCUUGCUCCCCGGGUGACGAGCGGCGGACGGGUGAGUAAUGUCUGGGAAACUGCCUGAUGGAGGGGGAUAACUACUGGAAACGGUAGC
rnacentral:rRNA from 1 species